AACGAACGCUGGCGGUAUGCCUAACACAUGCAAGUCGAACGAGACCUCCGGGUCUAGUUGCGCAUGGGGGCGUCAAGCGGGGGAACCUGCCCUUAUGUAUGGAAAUACUCCUUGAAAGGGGUGCUAACAUCGGAUAAUUUCCUCGGACCAAAGCUUCAUCCUCCUUGGGUGGGCCCGCGUUGGUCUAGCCAGUCGGUAUGGUAAAAGCCUAUCAAGGAGACGAUACAUAGCUGGUCUGAGAGGAUGAUCCGCGACACUGGGAGUGAGACGCGGCCCAGACUCCUGCGGGAGGCGGCAGUGGGGAAUAUAGCACAAUGGGCGAGAGCCUGAACCAGCAAUGCCGCGUGAGUGAUGAAGGCGUGAGGGUUGUAAAGCUCUUUUACCCGGGAUGAUAAUGACAGUACCGGAAGAAUAAGCUCCGGCUAACUCCGUG
rnacentral:rRNA from 1 species